rnacentral:lncRNA from 1 species
CUCAACCCUGGCCCAGGUCACCUUGAGAUGAUCACAGCCAUGUCUUCUAUGUGACCCUGCUUGGUCAGCAGUCACACCGGAGACAGAAGUCUGGCGACAUGUUUUCCUCUAAGUCUGGUCAUACUCCAGACUUACUCCAAGGUCAUACUCCUUUUGCCAGUCCUGAGAAUUUCAGAAACCAUGAACCCAGUGCCAACAGGAAACUUUAUUUCCUACUUCUGCACGCCAAGUUUCUACCUCCAGAUCUGUUUGGUUCAGUUGCUGAGAAGCCUGACACACCAGUGCCACUUAAAAGAAGCCAUCUACCGGUGAGUUGGGGGUGCUUUUUCCAUCACUUUAUGAAUCAAAGGCUCAAAGCAUCUCGAUGCUAGAUGCAGGGACUGGGAGUCUGUAUUGCCCAGGAACUUGGGGGAUGAUUAAGAUAGGAGAAAGGGGUGGAGAGUGGCAUCUGUCCCAGGAAUGAUAGAGAGAUCCCAAUGGCAGGAAGGAAGCAUAAAGCAGAGGGAGAACUCCAUCAGAGCUCAGUUGGUAGGAGAGGGUUGGGCUAAAAGAAGACAAUUAAGAAAGUAGGACAAUCAGGCUUCUCAAAUACUGCUCCUCUCAUUCUGCCCCUCCCAGCCCCCAAGGACUGUGAAGAGCUGGAACUUUCUACCCUGAAUUUCUCCCCCUCUAGUCCAUAUAUGUGAUAGUACAGGCCCUGCACCAAAAUACACUUCUUACCUCAAUUCAGAGGCUGAAGUAAGGGGUUCAUUUUUCUGAGAGGCAGAUUUAAUCAAUUCUGGUUGAUGUGUCUUGACACUUGAAAGUGACACCUAAACCAGUGCUCUUCAGCCUCCUUGCUACGUGUCUGCUGUGGUAGGAGCUAGGUGACACAGGAGUAGAUGAUAAAAAGGUUUCUGGCACUUGAGAGGCAGGUGAACAACAAAGCAUAGGAAACACACGGUGGAAGUGGCUGGGGCAGUUCAUCCCCAAUAUGAAUCACCAGAACAAGGGUCUGCACUGUGUGUUUCUGACUGACAGGCUUCCUGUGUAAUCUGAAAGCCAGCAUUUCAGAACCACUGAUCCAGUCUACACUGUUCCAUACAGAUGAGGAGACUAACUACAGAACAGCCCAGAGGGCCUGUUACAGCUAAGAGGCUAUGUGCAAGGAACCCCAAUAUUUUAGUUGUUGUACCAGCUCCCACUAGAUUACCUGGGAGUCUAGCCCACAGGGGAGCCCUCUGUUUCUCAGAAGCUUGUAGCCUACUAGUUCUCCAUUAUUCACUUCUCAUUUGAUAUUUAUAUGUACUAGGCUGGAUUCUAGGGCACUAAGAGUUCACAGCAAAAACAAAGCUCUCUACCCUCUUGGAGCUUAUUUUACUGGCAGAAAUGUGCAUGUAUGUGUGUUUUUUUGUGCUUGUGCAUUUAUAGGUAGAGCACAUUUGUAUGGGCAAGUGUGUGGAUUUUAAGGCUAAAUGCCAAAAACAUUCUGUUCAAGGCAUGAAGAACAACCAAAAAAUCAGUUACUUCUACAUUCUUCUACAUUCAUCUCUGUUCUCAGAGUCUGAAGAUGCAAACCCUUGAAGGCCUUUGAAAUGGAAUAGCCCAACAGUUCAAAUUCCAGCUCAGCCAUUACUUGCAUUGUGAGUCUGGGAAAAAAAUUAUUUAAUUCAUCCAUGCUUCUAUUCCUUCACUUUUAAAAUGUAUAUUUAUCUCACAAAACUGUUGUUAAGGAUUACAUUAAUUAACAUAUGAAGAGUAUUUAGCAUAGCACAUGGAGCCUAAUGAACAGUCAAUUAAUCACUAUAGUGUUAAUUCUUUAGGUGGAUACAUUUUUUCCUCAAGUUUGACCAGAAGUAUUAUUUAGUUUCUGCUCAUUUAAAGAAUCUAGUUCAGUGCUGUGAAAUUCAAAAUCUGUGAAAUGUAUCAAUCACAAGAGAAAGUGAAAAAUAAGGCGUGUACACAGAUUAAAAACAAAUCCAGUCACUGCCAGGAAAAAAAUAAACAUUCUUGAAAGCAAUUCUAAUGUUGUUAG